rnacentral:rRNA from 1 species
AACGAACGCUGGCGGCGUGCUUAACACAUGCAAGUCGAACGGUAAGGCCUUCGGGUACACGAGUGGCGAACGGGUGAGUAACACGUGGGUGAUCUGCCCCCUACUCUGGGAUAAGCCUGGGAAACUGGGUCUAAUACCGGAUAUGACCUCCUUCUGCAUGGUUGGUGGUGGAAAGUUUUUUCGGUAGGGGAUGAGCCCGCGGCCUAUCAGCUUGUUGGUGGGGUAAUGGCCUACCAAGGCGACGACGGGUAGCCGGCCUGAGAGGGCGACCGGCCACACUGGGACUGAGACACGGCCCAGACUCCUACGGGAGGCAGCAGUGGGGAAUAUUGCACAAUGGGCGAAAGCCUGGUGCAGCGACGCCGCGUGGGGGAUGACGGCCUUCGGGUUGUAAACCCCUUUCAGUCGGGACGAAGCGAGAGUGACGGUACCGAUAGAAGAAGCACCGGCCAACUACGUGCCAGCAGCCGCGGUAACAC